rnacentral:lncRNA from 1 species
UCAAUACGAAGCCCCUGAAAAACCUGGUUGAAACUCAACGUCACACGUGCCUUCAUGUGCCACUUGAGUGUAGGCCCAUUAGAUCCAUGCACACCAUGUGCUUGCACACGAUGCCAAUCUACUUAAGUUUGAGGAUCAGUGUCCCAUGCGCCUUGUGCAAGUUGCACAUGCUAGAAUGCAUGCCUGCUAUACACGCGCCCAGUUAACGACACAUCAUCAAUUUAUUAGCACCUCAUUAAUAAUCCAAUCACUGUUGAGAUAGCAAUACAUCAUCGUUUUAUCAACGACAUAUAGGUGUUCUAUCAGUAUCUAAUCAGUAACCCAAUCAGCAUCCAAUUAGUAACCCCACCAUGUGCAUGCUUUGCUAGAGCAGAGUUAGUAGUCCAUCAUCGCCACAUAAGUCAAUAUGUUAGCCUCAAUCAGCUACCCAAUUAGCAUUAGGUCAGUACUUCAUCAUCAACCCAGUUAGUGCUUCAUCAGUAAUAGAAUAUUCCAGAAAUAUUUCCUUAGUUUGGUAAAUUACACUUUUAGUCUCUAAAUUUUGAAAACCUUACAUUCCAAUCCCUGACAUUUAAAAAAAUUAUAAUUUGAUCCCUGAAGUUUUUGAAAAUUAUAGUUUGGUCCCCAUAGUUUGUGAAAAUUUGCAAUUGGGAUCCUGAAGUUCAAAAAAUAAUAGUUUGGUCCCUGAUAUUUCUUAAAAUUAUAAUUUGGUCCCUAAGAUUUUUAAUUUUGAUAAUUUGGUCCUUGAAGUUUUUAAUUUUUUUAGUUUAGCCUUUUUAAAGAUUUUUCUACAUUUCAAAUCUACCCGUGAGAUUAGAAUUUGUAUAUUUUGAUCCCAUACCAGUUUUUGGGUGAGGUUUAUCUAUUUUGAUGGAGCAUAUAAGUUUGGAGAGAGUUUAUCAGUUUUAGUGGAGUUUAUUCAAGUACUCAAUAGGAGGAGAUAUGGCACAAUAGUCAACAUGGUAGUUCGGCCCCUAUAUUUGGGCAAAGGGGGUGAAGAUUGUGGAAACAUCUACCAUAUAUGAGAAGAUUUUCUAUGUAUGGUUCUCAUGUGUGAAAAAAGUUCUUAGAAUAGGGAUCUCAUUGUCUGGCUAUCCAUAUUUAUGGCACAACAGUCAGCAUGGUGGUUCAUCCUUAACAUUUUGGAUAGAGGUUGAAGAUUGUAGAAGACAUUUGCCCUAUGUGAGAAGGUUUUCUAAGUAGGGAUCUUAUUAUCUAGUUAUAUGCAUCCGUGAGAAGGCUUUCUAAGUAGGGAUCUCACAUGUAAGAAGGCUCUUAGAAUAGGGAUCUUAUUAUUUGGUUAUCUGCAUUUGUGAGAAGGCUUUCUGAGUUGGAUCUAAUCUGUGAGAAGGCUCUUAGAAUAGGGAUCUAUUAUCUAGUUACGUGCAUUUAUAGGAAGGCACUCGAAAUAGGGAUCUUUUAUCUGGAUACAACUUUUAUGGAGAAGGCUUUUUGAAUGGGGAUCUUAUGUGCGAGAAAGCUCUUAGAAUAGGUAUCUCAUAUUUGGCUACAACAAUUUAAUAAGUCUUUUUGAGUAAGGAUCUCAAAUUUGGAACAGCAUAUGUGAGAAAAUUUUAGUUUGGUAUCUCCAUUUGUUUGGAUCACCUGCUUUUAGUUCGAUAUAUCUCAAACAAUUAUAAUUCAUCAAUUUUGUAUCUUAAUUUAUUUGGAUCACUUAAUUUUGGUUCGAUAGUUUCAAACAUUUAUGAUUCAUUGAAGUUAAAAGAUCUUGGCAAGGUGGAGCAUCACAAGUGUCGAGAAGAUUAUGACUUUGGGUCAAAUUUCUACUACUUAAACUUGACAAAAACAUAUCGCUGAAAGGUGCAUUAGUAGCAGUGUUAUUCUAUUUGGGAGAAGUUUUCGUUAAGAUAAAAAUUAUUGAAUUUGGCAAACUUGACUAAAAUCUGGCUUUGAAAGGGGCAUCGGUAGCAUGUUACUCUAUUUAGGGAAGUCUUUUGCCAAGGUGGAGAUUAUUGGGUUUGACUUCAAACUCUUUGUUAGAUUUGGAUUCAAACUCCCUAUUAGAUUUGUAUUCAAAGCCCUAGUUAGAUUUGAAUUAAAACUCUUAGCCUAUAUAUAUAGCUCAUAUGGAUGUGUAUUUGGUGUGGGAAAAUGUAGCGUGAGGCAUAGAAAGAGUGAGGGAGGUGGUGGAUAUAAAAAUAAAGAUAUAACCUUUUCCCGUGUUGAAUACAUUCCUCUUUCUUUGCUGAUAAAAAUAAAGAUGUAUGUAUGUAUGUAUGUAUGUAUUAUACUUCCAACUUUUAUUGCUAAUUAUCAAUGUAUUUCCCCUAUAUUUUAACAUAUUUGUGUAUAUUAUUUGUUCUACUUAACUGUUGUUUGGUGCAAGUAUGUUUAACUAUUUUGUAGGUCCAAUGGAGUAUAAAAGAGAUUAGAAGAGACAAGGAAUCGAGGGAAAAGUGAUAUGGAGUUGGUUUUCUUGACUAAGUUCAACCCGUAGAAGUGGAGGAGAACCAAAGAUCAACAAUGUCCAACCAAUUGAGCCUUCAUGCUCAACUGAUUGAAGAAAAGCAAAAGCAUCAAAUGGAUUGGUCCAACCGUUUGAACCUUUAGGUUUUACUGGUCGAAUGCAAGAAGAAGCCUCAAACAUAAAUUGUGAAUCCGUCGAGCUCAAGCCUCAAUUGGUCGAAUUGGAAGAAUAGGGCCAUCCUUCAACUGGUUGAACUUUAUGGUCAACCAAUUGAACCGAUUGUGCCUCUAGUUCAACCAGUUGAAAAAGGCUGUGAAACACCAAAAUUAAUAUGCAAUGCUACUUUUCAGUGGUGUUUUAGUCCGUUCACUUCUACCUUUUCCAAGGCCUAAAUAUAUCGAGAGAAUCUCGGCAUUGAAGGGAACUUCGAAGCCUAAUACACUUUAUUUUGGGGAUACUUCAUCCUUAAGAUUGCCCAUCCUUUGUCUUAAUACUUCGGUAUUUUUCUUUUCAAAAUCAUUAGUUUUAGAUUAGAUUAACUUUAGUUUAGAGUUAAAGAGAGUUGAAGAAAAGUUGAAAAUGAUUGGUUUCAAUUUGAAGAUCUGUAUUUUCUUGAUUCUACUCUUUUGAUUGAAUGAUUGUAAGUUUAUUUGAUUUAAGUUUAUAAAUUCCAUUUAUGUUAUGGAAUCUCUAUUUUCUUCCUAUAUUUGUAUUAUGUUCUUUUGCUUUAUGGCUUGUUUUUCAUAAAUGAUUUAAUCUUCCACACCCAUGGGGGGCAAAGUCUAUUGCUUGGUCUAAGGACUAUAUCUUACUCCAACCCUCAGCAUGAAUUGACUUCUUCUCUCUCUUUAAAUAAUUUCAAUGCUUGUUUUAGGAUGAUUAGUGGUGUUCUUAAGAUAAAAAAAUUAUAAUUGUAUACAUCUUUGAUUAUUUGUUCGCUUAGUACAAGUAAUACUUAGAUCUCUUGCAUUUUAAGUGCUUGAAAUAUUGUACAAACCAUUACCAAUCUCAUAAACACUUAUUUAGAUACAAAAUAUAUUUUUAUUGCAAAAUUUUUCAAGUAAAAUAAUUAUGCCUUGAGAUUUAGUUGAGUUACAUAAAUAGAGAAGACGUUAAAAUAUCUAAACUAGGAGAAAGUCUAGAUACUAGAGCCAUGCUACUUUACAUUUCAUUACAUAGUUUUUCAAAAAUCUUAAAAACAAUUAUUUUAUAAUUUCUUCACUUGCAAUAAAAUUUAAUCUUACAUUUUAGCUUCCUAAGAAUAUGGCCUUGGGAAUUCCAUAUAUUAUGCUACACUGAUAGGUUCCUACAUUUUAAAACCAUCUCUACUAAUUAGAUAUCAUCAGAAUCGUGCCAACAGAGUAUUACUGUGUUUUAGUAGUUGUUUCUUUGUUCGGGUGUGGUGAUGAAGGGCAAGUAUAGGUUAUGGUCAAUUGUUGCUAUUGUUCUGUUCAUUUUUCAGCUUUUGUUAUUUUCCUCUUUCUUUUCUUGUUGUUGGUUCCUCGCCAACGUUUUCUUAUAUGGGAUUAGAUAGUAUUAGAUAGGCUUUUGUUUAGGUGUCAAACUAGUUAGAAUAUAUUCUUUAACUAUAACACUUUUUUAUUUUCCUAAAACCGGAUAGAUGUUUAUCUCAAUGCAAUCAUUUCCCGUGUUGAAUAUAUUCCUCUUUCUUUUCUGAUUAAAAAAAAAGAUAUGGUAUGCAUUGUACUUCCAACUUUUAGAUUAUUCAUGCCAGUGCAAAAAGCCUCUCAUAUGGGAAAGCAACAAUUCAAAUUUCAAUUUGUGUCUAAAUUUCAAUUAAGAUUUCUGAAAUUGCACUAUCCUCUCUUAUUUUUAUUAACAUUGUCUAUACCCCGGUAUCCGAAUGUUAAAAAAGUAACAGAAGUUGCCCUCUCAGAAUCCACUAUCCUUUAAUUCUAAUACACAACGGUUCAAUACAGAGAGGAUUGAGGAAUGCUAUUUGCCUAUCUCCAAUAAAAAUUUGACAAAAAGUUGUGAGCCAACUCUCUCUCUUACGUCUUCCCAGAUAUUCCAAGGAAGUAAGAGCCUGUCAUGUUCUUCUCUUUUAAUUAGACUUUUUAUUUAUUUACUAAUAAUUAUUCGUACUUACAAGUACUGUAUAAAAAAAAUUAUUUUUUAGGUAUUUUCAUUAGAGUUUUAUAAUCUAAGAUAAUAUAUAAAAAUUAAAUAAAAAAUACAUUGCGUAUAUAUAUGAAGAGAUACAUUAUAAUAAAAUAGAGAAUAAAUUAGAAAGUAUAAUGAUUUUAAAAAAAUGUUGCUAGUUUAGGAGAAAUGAAAGAAAAGAAAGAGGAGUUUAAUUUUUUUUAGUAUUGGUCCCACUAAAAAAUAAUUUAAUGAAUAAAAAAUAUACCCAAAUUAAAUGUGUAUUUUUUGUCCAUUGGAUAAGAACUUAUGUGAGUCCCACACAUUUGAGAAGAAAUAAGUAAUAUUUAUGGGGAAAAAAAUAAUCUCAAGUAAAAUUUUAGUCGUUGGAUUAACUCAAAUAAAUUUCAACUGGAGAUAGUGAAAGAUAACUUUGAGAUUCAAAAACCAAGCUAGUAAUUACCCGUGCGAACUAGCACUACAAAAAGAAGAAAAACAAACCACCUCUUAGAUGUACGUGUUUUUUUUUUAUACAAUUUUAUAUCAAAAAAACUGACCCGGAAGAUCAACUCUAUUUUUUGAGGUGAGAAGCAAUAUACGUUGCUACAAAAUAAAGAAUAAAUUAAAUAUAUAAUAAUUUUUAAAGUGUGUUACUAGUUCGGUCAUUGGGUCAUAACUUAUGUGGGUCACACACCUUGGAGAAGAAGAGAAUGACAUUUUUUAGGGAAACAAAAUAAUUUCAAGUGAAAUCUCAGCCAUUGAAUUAACUCAAGUAGAUUUUUACUGUAGAUAGUGAGAGAUAGUUUGGAAGAUUUAAAAAUAUUUGUGUCUUAUAUUAUAAAUAGUUUUAAAGAUUAAAAAAUAUUUAUAUAUUAUAUUAUAGAUUUUUGUUAUUCUUAAAAAAAAAUAAUGUCAAGUGAAAUCUCAGCAUUGAAUUAACUCAAGUAAGAUUUUUACUGUAGAUAGUGAGAGAUAGUUUGGACAGAUUUAAAAAAUUGUGUCUUAUAUUAUAAAUAGUUUUAAAGAUUAAAAAAUAUUUAUAUAUUAUAUUAUAGAUUUUUGUUAUUCUUAAAAAAAAAUAAUUUCAAGUGAAAUCUCAGCCAUUGGAUAAACUAAAGUAGAUUUUUACUGUAAUAGUGAGAGAUAGUUUGAAAGGUUUAAAAAUAUUUGUGUCUUAUAUUAUAGAUAGUUUUAAAGAUUAAAAAAUAUUUGUAUAUUAUAUUAUAGAUUUUUGUUCUUAUUAUGAUAAAUUUAUUUAAAUAUUUAUUUUUACUCAAAUAUUUUUAUUACGAUCAGUAGAUAAAUUAAUUUCAAUAUAUAUAUAAAGUAUAAUUAAAAAAAAUAGGCGUAAGAAAAUCACUUUUCAUUAAAAUUACUUUUCAUUCUAUUUAUUUAUUUAUUUUAUCUGCUUGUUUUUCAUCUUUUUACUGUCUUUAAUAAUUGUUUUCACCGAUUAAUUAAUAUUUAAUACUUUUUCAGUUUCUCUUCAUAAAAAAAAUAUAAAAUAUAAAAAAUUAUCUAAUUUAAGAGUAAAUUUACUAAAAAUUAAAAAAUAAUUAUUUUUAUCUCUAAAAUAAAUAUUUUUUUAAUAUUUUUAAACUUUUAUUGUCAAAAGUUUGAUCAAAUUAUAAUAAAAAUUAUUAAAUACAUUAAAAUAAAAAAUGAGAGAAGAAGAAAUGUGUAUUUUAUUUUAUUUUAUAUGUGUUUUACUAAAAAAAUUAUCCAAUGAAUAAAAAAUAUAUCUAACUUUAAAAGUUUUUUUUUAUAUUGAAUCAAAAUCUAUGUGAAACUCAUGCCUUGAGUAGAUAGAAAUGAUAAUUUUAAGAAAAAACAAUAUUUUCGAUAAAAUUUUAAUCGUUGAAUUCACUUAAAUUAAUUUUAAUUAUAAAUAAUGCAAGAUAAAUUUCAAAUUAAACAUGAAUUGUAUUUUAUAGUAUAUAUUUUCAGUCAAGAAGUCAACACAUGAUGGGUUGUCUCCGAUAACAUUUUGUAGUCACCACAGUACCCUGCGAUUGAAAGCAUUGACUCGUAAAGAAUACUUGAGGUUGACCAACAAAGAUUGCCACCAAACUACACGCUUUAAGACCUUUCCCCAUCUAAACUAAAAAACAAAUCUUUUAUUGCCAUCAAAAGUCACCAGUGCAUGCAUGUUCACGGAAACUUUAAAAAAAUUUAAAAUUUUUUUUAGGUAUGAUACGAAAUAAUAUAUAAUUUUUUGAAUAUAAUUAAUUAUUUAUUAGAAUAAUUAUAUUAAUGUUUGCGAAUGCAUAGCAUUAUAUAAUAAAUAAGAAGAAGUAAAAACAGUGUUUGUGAUAGCAAUGUUCAAAAAAAAAAAAAAUAAAGUUCGCUAUACCCAAAAAUUCAUCUGAAAUUACACUGAACCCCCUUUAUGCUCCAAAAUUACAUUAGUAAUUUAGUACCUCCUCUUAGCAAAUAUUGUUUGGCUUAAUAACAGAGUUACUAAAAUACUAAAAUACGCUCUAUGACGAUCCUCUGACUUCGGAUGUUUCCUUUAUUUUUUCCAUUCCUUUUGCGUGCAAAGUUGUCGUACAUAAUGGCGUUGACAAGAAAAUGCGAUGUGUAUAGCUUUUGGGUUUUGACACUUGAAGUUUUGAAGGGAUCUUAUCCCGGGGAGGUUAUUUCAACCCUAAGCUCUUUAGUGGAUCAAGGCAUUCAACUUGAAGAUGUGUUAGAUCCUCGUCUCCAUCCUCUUACCAAAAAGAUUGAAUCUGAGCUCACCCCCAUUGUCAAGCUUGCACUAUGGUGUUUGCGUGCUGAUCCACGUUCUAGGCCUUCCAUGCAAGUUGCUUCUCAAGAGCUUUAAAUGAAGGCUGGUUAUGACUAGAGAAGAAAUAUAGCAUGUAUGAGAAUGUAACUAUGUAUGUAUGUAUGUAUUUGAAUAUGUAAGCAUACUAGCACCAAAAUAAAAUUGUUUGACUAGGCUGUUCCUUAGAAGGAUCUUUUGUUGGAUACUUUGGCAAAAAUGUGGGUGGAUAAGAAUUGCUUUCCUAACAACAAAGUGAGAUAUAUUCCAUAGAGAAUAAUGUUAUUGUGAUUACAUUUAUGCAUUAUAUUUAAACAAGAGUUGUUUGGUAUAACACAUUAUACUAAUUACAUGAUGGGAUUCAGCCCAACCAUAUACGAUACCAAAUUAAAUUUACCAAUAUGAUUGGUCAUCAGAGCACAUCAUUAUCGAUUUAAAACUCAUGAUGUGUAUUUGUUGCUCAUUUGGAAAUAGUAAUGCACAAACCGAAUUGACACUUCAAAUGAAUGGAUUAUCAUUCAAUAAGAAUAAGAAUAGUUUAAAUUUAGAUUAAUUAUUUUAAUUACAUAUGGAUAUCCGCAUUAAGUUUGCAAGUUGUAUUACGAUAGAUUUGGAUUAAUUAGGAGUAGAAAAAUAUUCUUUUUAUAUAACUACAACUUAUGUUAAAACUUAAGCUUCGUUUGACACCAGACUUUUGUCAGUUUUUUUUUUGAUUUUUUUGCUUAAAUAAAAAAAAAAAUCAAUCAGAGUUAACUUUUUUGCUUUUCUGUUUUUGUUUUUUUGAUUAAUUUUAGCUAAAGUAAAGCUACAAAAGAAAAAAAGUCAAAAAGUCUUGAUCUUUUUGGUAGUAACCUUAAAAAAGCUUAAUUUUUAAGCACUACCAAACGGAGCCUUAAUGAUUCAAAAAAAAAAGUUAAAAAGCAUUCGCCUCUCAAAAAUCAGCUUUUUAAGAUGUUCUUAAUCUACAAGUUAAAAGCAAAAAUUGUGACAAACUUUUUUAAAUAUCUUCUAAAACAUGAAAAAGCGCAAGUUGCAACCACCAAAAUUAUGGCAAAUACUCCGCGGAUCCUUAGGGCAAGUAUUUGAGGCUGACCUGGAACACGUCUCGAUCUUUGAUUAAAGCAUGUGCUCAAAUCACAUUUUUAAAGAUAAAAUCACACUUAUUUUCAUUAUUUUACCAAUAAAAAAGUUUUAAGAAUCAUUACUGCACUGUCAACACUACUGUGAUUGGAGAGAGAAAUUUCAUUGUUUUCACCAAGUCCAAGUCUACUACUAAAGUCCAAGUCUACUGCUGUUGAGUUGUAAACAAAUCCAUAGUAUCAAGACCAAACCCCACAGUUCCCAAAUCAAAACACUUGGCUGUGAAAUAUGUUAAAUCAACAAAUUUUUUGCCAUGCAAAAUAGGUAGUGUGGUUUUGUGGAGGUGGUUGGCGCACGAGUUAGGAGUAUUUUUUUUGGGAGAAUUACACUGAUUCCCCUGAAAUUUACUUUUAAUACACAAAGCCCAUUGACGUUUAAAAAAUUACAGUGACCUCCCCUGAGGUUUGAAAAAUUAUACGACACCCUGGCACUACUUUUUCUCUCUUGUCUCCUUAUGAAAUGACCAAAAUACCCCCUCUCUCUCUCAUUAAUCCUCUCUCUUCCCAAUCUCUCUAUUUUUUGCACCCUAUUAUUUUAUGUUUUUACUUUUAUUAUUAAUUUUUUUUGGAAUUUACCCUUUAAUUCAUAUUUUUUAAUAAAAAAAUCUCUUUUGUUACUUUUUCUUAUUUAUUUUUUUGUACCCUUUUAUUUUUAUUUUAUAUUUUAUUUAUUUAUUAUUUUUUUUUAAUACCUUGAUACUUUUAUUUAAAAAAAAAAGAAUCACCUUUUUGUUAUUUGAUUAUUUUCUUCUUUAUGUACUCUUUUAUUUUAUUUGUUUACUGUGCCUCUUAUUAUUAUUUUUUCAUUUACUAUCCUUUGAUUAUUUUUUUUUAACAAAACAUGAAUCAACCUUUUGUUUCUUUUGUUUCUUUUUUUAUUUUUGUACCUUUUUUUUUUUUAUUUUUUUAUUUUUAUUAUUUUUUUAUACAUUGAUUUUUUUCUAUUUUAAUACCUUCGAUUUAUUUUUUAAAUGUUUACAAAUAAUGUAUCCCAAAUGGUUUUAAAAAAGAAAAAAAAGAAUCAAAGGGUGGUAUUUAUAAACAAUAAUAAAAAUUAAAAAAAAUAAAAGGAUACAAAAAAAUAAGAAAAACUCAACAAAAAUGAAUUGAUUUUGAAUAAAAACCACUUUUCUAACCCCCCGAUAUCGAUGGUGUGCACUAUAUAAUUUAGAAAAUUUCAAACACAGCCCGUUAUUGUUGUGUAAAAGCAAAAACUAAACAACACAUGACAGACAUUGAGUAAUACAGUUUAGAAAUAACAUAAUUUCACAAUUUUUUUUAAAAUAACAAAAAGAGAACCGUAUAAUUGGCUCUCGCCGCCCCAUGUUCACUAAUAAAAUUAAUCAAAGGGUAUUAAAAGAAAUAAUAAUAAUAAAAAUAAAAAUAUAAAAUAAAAUAAAAAGUGUACAAAAAAAAAAGAAAAAUUAACAAAAAGAGAAUUUUCUUUUAUAAAAAAUAUGAUUUAAAGGAUAUUAAAAAAUUAUACUAAACAAGUAAAAAAAAUAAAAAAUAAAAGGGUGAAAAGGAGAGAGGAGAUAGGGGGAGAGAGCGAGAGAGGAUGGAUGAGAGAGGGGGGCAAUUUGGUCAUUUAUAAGGAGAUAAGGGAGAAAAAGUGGGGGAAAGGGGGUCCCCCCCCCUCACUUUCCCCCUCCUUCCUCAUUCUUUUUUUCUUUUCGGGGUUGUCAAGAUAAUUUUUCAAAAACUAGGGGAGAUUGUCAUUAUAAUUUUUCAAACGUCAGGGAAUUUUAUGUAUUUAAAGGCAAACUCAGGGGAGGUCAUAUAAUUUUUAAAACGUCAUGAAUAUAUUUGACGUAUUAACGGCAAACAAAAAAACCUCAAAAAAAAGGGAGGGGGGAUCAGUGAAUUCUCCCUUGUUUUUUAAGCCUAGUUUCUUGAAAGUUGUAAUUUGCAUUGCUAUAGUGCAAUUCGUUUUUAAGUUCACUUUGGAGUUGUAGUUUGUAAUUCAAGAGGGUAAUAUUAUAAUUAUUAAUGUCAAGAUCAAUAUUAUAAAAAGAUUACAUUAAUCGAACACAGUCUAGAUUCCGUUUAUUAUUGUCUCAUAUUUAAAACUUCUGAAUUGUUAUCAAUUUUUAAUUUGGGUCUAAAUGCAUUGUUAGUGGACAUUGAGAUUAAUUUCUUAAAUUAGUGUGUCCUUAAAACAAAUACCGAAUUAUUAAAAAUAGUAUAUUUGUGGAAACUAUUAGUACAAUUAAUUUAUUAGGAACGAAAGAGAUUAGGAGUUUUUAGUCCCUGCUCUUUUUCGCCUACUAUCCAUUGCCUUGAAAACAUAUGCAUGUAUAUGUUUAAAAUCAAAUGGUGGGGUUGCGAGAACUUUUUGCGUCGGCAUCAGACCGUGGAAAAUACUGUUGCCACACGUUACAGUCAAUUCCUAAGGCAAAAAAUGAGUCGCGAUCCACCUCAUAAUAUAAUUCAAAAUAUUCGUAACAUUAGGAUUAUUCAUAACAUGAUGAAUGCAUGCUAUCUAACUGAUCAAUACCUGUUUUAAUGCACGAGAAUUGUGAGUUAAAAACAUAGAAUCACCAUCAAAUAAAUUGCUAAUCAGAACAGUCACAAGCUUACCUCAUAAUAUAAUUCAAAAUAGGAGACACGAUGGUGAAAUUCUUGGCUUGGGCUACAACCCACUGGUAACUUCCAGUUAGUGCGUAUUAAAAUUAACUAUCAUACCAUCACACAAAAGACUAAUUUAUAUACCUCUUGAAUGAUACUGACAGCAUCCUUCAAAGCCCAUGGGAUAAUACUAGGAGAACUUGGAUCGCCCUGUAAUUAGUUCAACAAAAAUAACAGCAUAAAUUGUUAUUCUAGAACAUAAACCCCUCAUUGCUUAAAACUUUUCACCAUGGUCUAGUCAAAACUAUAUUACCAUUAAAAAUGAUUCUAUCAAAUUGAAAUGUUAAAGGAUGCACAUAUAUCAUAAUAUUAAGUCUGACUUGGCCUCAAAUUGUGGAAAAAAUAAAUUUUCACUUGGCUGGUGGUUCAGUAACUUUUGGUGAGUUAAAAAGAGGAUAUUCUUAUUCAAGGAGGAAUAAUGAUGGGGGAUGUCCUUUCUCCUCUAGAUCAGAAGAGUAUACAACACAUUUGCAUCUUUAAAAUUUUUCAGAUAUUUUAAGAAAAAUCUCUACUAAACUUUUCAUUAGUCCAAAGUCGUGUUGCAUUACAGCCGAUCAUAUCCCUCUCUCCAUUUUUACAAAUCUUUUAGAAUUUCAAGGAAAGAUCUUAAGAAAUUUGGCACCCAAUGCCAUGGCUAGCAUUAAAAUCAUCAUGUCCCUCUCUCCCAUCGUUAAAAUCUUUCAGCAUAUUUUAAAAAGACAUCUAUAUUAACUUGUCAUGGUCCAAGUUUGUGUUGCAUUAAAGCCUAUCAUGUCCCUCUCUCCCAUUCUUUACAAAUCUGUUAGAUAUUUCAAGGAAAGAUCCUAAUAAAUUUGGAAUAGCCCAUGUCGUGUAGCCUAAAAUCUAUCAUGUCCCUCUCUCCCAUCUUUAAAAUCUUUCAGAUAUUUUAAAAAACAUCCCUAUUAAACUUGGCAUUGGUUCAAAAUCGUGUAGCAUUAAAUCGUAUCAUGUUCACUCUUUCCCAUCUUUAUAAUCUUUUAGAUAUUUCAAGGAAAGAUCCUUAAUAAACUUGGCAUUGGUCCAAAGUUGUGUUGCAUUAAAGCCUAUCAUGUCCCUCUCUCCCAUCUUUACAAUCUUUUAGAUAUUUCAAGGAAAGAUCCUUAAUAAAUUUGGCAUUAGCCCAAUGUCGUGUAGCAUUAAAAUCCUAUCAUGUCCCUCUCUCCCAUCUUUACAAUCUUUUAGAUAUUUCAAGGAAAGAUCCUUAAUAAAUUUGGCAUUAGCCCAAUGUCGUGUAGCAUUAAAAUCCUAUCAUGUCCCUCUCUCCCAUCUUUAAAAUCUUUUAGAUAUUUCAAGGAAAGAUCCUUAAUAAAUUUGGCAUUAGCCCAAUGUCGUGUAGCAUUAAAAUCCUAUCAUGUCCCUCUCUCCCAUCUUACAAUCUUUAGAUAUUUCAAGGAAAGAUCCUUAAUAAAUUUGGCAUUAGCCCAAUGUCGUGUAGCAUUAAAAUCCUAUCAUGUCCCUCUCUCCCAUCUUUACAAUCUUUUAGAUAUUUCAAGGAAAGAUCCUUAAUAAAUUUGGCAUUAGCCCAAUGUCGUGUAGCAUUAAAAUCCUAUCAUGUCCCUCUCUCCCAUCUUUACAAUCUUUUAGAUAUUCAAGGAAAGAUCCUUAAUAAAUUUGGCAUUAGCCCAAUGUCGUGUAGCAUUAAAAUCCUAUCAUGUCCCUCUCUCCCAUCUUUACAAUCUUUUAGAUAUUUCAAGGAAAGAUCCUUAAUAAAUUUGGCAUUAGCCCAAUGUCGUGUAGCAUUAAAAUCCUAUCAUGUCCCUCUCUCCCAUCUUACAAUCUUUAGAUAUUUCAAGGAAAGAUCCUUAAUAAAUUUGGCAUUAGCCCAAUGUCGUGUAGCAUUAAAAUCCUAUCAUGUCCCUCUCUCCCAUCUUUACAAUCUUUUAGAUAUUUCAAGGAAAGAUCCUUAAUAAAUUUGGCAUUAGCCCAAUGUCGUGUAGCAUUAAAAUCCUAUCAUGUCCCUCUCUCCCAUCUUACAAUCUUUAGAUAUUUCAAGGAAAGAUCCUUAAUAAAUUUGGCAUUAGCCCAAUGUCGUGUAGCAUUAAAAUCCUAUCAUGUCCCUCUCUCCCAUCUUUACAAUCUUUUAGAUAUUUCAAGGAAAGAUCCUUAAUAAAUUUGGCAUUAGCCCAAUGUCGUGUAGCAUUAAAAUCCUAUCAUGUCCCUCUCUCCCAUCUUUACAAUCUUUAGAUAUUUCAAGGAAAGAUCCUUAAUAAAUUUGGCAUUAGCCCAAUGUCGUGUAGCAUUAAAAUCCUAUCAUGUCCCUCUCUCCCAUCUUACAAUCUUUAGAUAUUUCAAGGAAAGAUCCUUAAUAAAUUUGGCAUUAGCCCAAUGUCGUGUAGCAUUAAAAUCCUAUCAUGUCCCUCUCUCCCAUCUUACAAUCUUUAGAUAUUUCAAGGAAAGAUCCUUAAUAAAUUUGGCAUUAGCCCAAUGUCGUGUAGCAUUAAAAUCCUAUCAUGUCCCUCUCUCCCAUCUUACAAUCUUUAGAUAUUUCAAGGAAAGAUCCUUAAUAAAUUUGGCAUUAGCCCAAUGUCGUGUAGCAUUAAAAUCCUAUCAUGUCCCUCUCUCCCAUCUUACAAUCUUUAGAUAUUUCAAGGAAAGAUCCUUAAUAAAUUUGGCAUUAGCCCAAUGUCGUGUAGCAAAUAAAUGAGUAAUCCAUACAUCUUUUUAGCCAGAUCUAGUUGGAAUAUGCUUACUUAUGUGAGGUGAUUAAUAUCUGAUAAUUUUUUUAUUCAAAAUCAAUAAGAAUUAAAUGAGAAAUUGACACCAAAAUUCACUGCUUCAAUAUUAGGUGAAGAAUGGUAAAAUAAAUUGUUCCACAUUGGUCAUUUAUGAGUCCUUUAGCGGGUUUACAAGCUUUCUCCUUGAACUUGGUCUUGGGCCCGAGGGGCAACCAGGUUUCAUGGAGGAGGGAGGACCUAGCACCUUUGUGUGUUAACCAUUUGGAAAAAAAAAAAAAAAUUAUUAUUUUUUAUUUGAGAUUUUAAAGCGGUUCAAAAGUUGCUUACAAUUGUGGCAAUUGGGUCCUUAUGAAAGGACACGUCUCUUCUACCCAACCGUCCUGAAAUUUUUACCACUGUAGUUGUGGCCUGGAAUGUUCUGUGCGUCCAUUUUUGGCACGAGCAUUCAGUGGCACUUUUCGCCAUGAAUGGACGCAACUGUUGACUGUUGAUCUGUUACGAACAGAAACUUCCGUCUACCGAAAAAAUUAAUUAGGAUGGCUACGAAUAUAGAUGAAUUGAAUUAAACAAUUUUGCAAUGUGAAAAUAAACAAACAAAUGAGAGAAUAAAAAAACAAAAAUAAAAAAAAUCAAAUUUUAUGUUGUUCGACAAUGUAUUUACGUCUACAGACUGUCAAACAAGUAAAUGGCUUCCACUAACAAAUCAAACGACUGCUCCGAAGAAGAGCACAAAGGAGAAAUGUGUGAAAAACUCUCUCGCCAAAGCCUCACCAAUAUCAACUAUAAAUUUUCCCCACCCCCUAGUUAGAAUCAAAACAAAAACUCUCUCUCAAAUAAAAAGAUUAAAGACUUAACCAAAGUCCCCAAUUGGGGGUACCAAAGGAACUAAAAAUUUCUUCAAAAACUUGAAGGUCAUCCAAGUCCCAACUAAAGGUCUUCCAAAGGAACUAAGAAAUUUACCAAAGAUUAGAGAAUUCUUCCAAAUUUAUAACCAAAAAAUCCUUCGUAAAACAAACAAGUACCAAAAAGUGUUUCUUGCCAAACAAGCUUCUAAACCAAUAAAGAAUCUACAAAAAUAGAGUUUAGAAAUUCUAAAACGAGUUUAAUUAGUCAAAUGCUUACCCAAUCAAAAUCAAUCAAACCUGUGAACCCAAUCUAAUUGGUCAAUAUCUAAUUGUCGAGCUGAAAAGGCAAAAUUAUCUUUUACUUGUAGUGAUUCUAAAUUAACAGAUGUUAACCUUCUCUCUUCAAAAUUGAAUUAUUGCUUUUGGGAUUUUCGAAAAACUGAGAAAUUUUGUUCUAGCUGGUUCUUUUUUUUUUUGGGUACUUUACGUUCGAUUGAUAUAUUUCCAUGUGGGUAUGGAUUCUCUUAUGGAGUAAAAAAAUAAAAUAAUGUUUUAUACGCAACACAUUUUUUUUAAGUACAUUAUUUUUCUUUCUUCCACUCGAUCAUUUAUUCGAUAGACCGAGUUACAAAAUUGCAUAACAUUUACAUUUUUAGCAACAUUUUUUAUGAAGUGCUAAUUUCUUAGAAAGGAAAAGCUACUGAGCUGUCGUAGUUGUAUUUUUUUAAUAUAUUUUAAUCAAAUGUUCAAAAAAAUGAUGCUUUAAUUGUUUUUGAGACAAAUGGUAUAUGAAGAAGUUUUUAUCCGGAAAGAUAGCGUACGGAAAUCUAUUACUUUCUUGUAGUGAUUUCUUUUCUUUUUUAAGCAUUAUGUAGGGCUCCAUUUUAAGAGUUCACUUAGGUCUCCAAAAACUUAGGACUUGCUCUCGAUUCAAUUCAUGUCUAAGUUAGUAAAUAAAGAGAUUACAUACACUGUUGGUUCACUGUAGAAACAAAUUGAAGUAUUUCAUUUGUUCUGCACGAUCACUAUAUUUCAGGAGACAAACGUCUAAAAUAGUAAACACCUUAACGAUGGAAAAUUCUGUCUUUAAGGACAUAGUGCUAAACACUAGCCUUUGAUUAGUCUCCUUCGAAUUUCUCAUUGCAGAUUCUACAAUUUGUUUUAUACAAGGUAUAUCUUCUUCUGCAAUCAGUUAUUUGUGUUCAAACCACAGAAUCUGUUUCUGAUUUUGUUUCUAAAAGUAAUUGUUGUUUCCAAAAGAGUUUUUUCGUUAGUUUCUACAAAAUCAGAUUUUUAAACAGUUUAGCUUCUGCAAAUUAAAUUGUUUCUGUAAUUAUAUAUAUAUAUAUAUAUAUAUAUAUAUAUAUAUAUAUAUAUAUAUAUAUAUACACACACACACACAAAAAAAAAGAAUUAAAAAGUAAAAGCUAAAAAUAAAAAUAGUAAUUUUCACACUUUUUUCCCCUUCAAUUACACUCUAUUUUGUGUCUUUAUUUGGUAUAAGAUUAUCAAAAUACCCAAGUAUUUAUAUUUCUAAACUACCUUUUCUCAAAAUAUUCUAAUUGCAUAGAAGGACAUUUAAGUAUUUUUGCCAAAUAAAAAAAAAGAAAUGGAAUUAGAGAAAAAAAGAAUGUAAAAAUCAUUACCUAAAUUAAUGAAAACAUGCUAAAAUGAAAAUUUUCUGAUGCCAUCUAUUACUUAAAAAAUAUAAUAUUCCGUUUGGAUAUGUGAAUUUCAAAUGCUAUUUAAUUUUUUUUAAAAGAAGAAUAUUUUAAUUACACGUAUUUCAAUUAACACUUAUAUUGGAAAAAGAGAGAGCGGAGUGAGAUGUGUGAAUUUGUCAAAUUACACUAAUUUUGAGUUAUUUAAAAUUCUUUUCAUUUACUAUUGAAAUUCAAAGGGUAAUUUUUCUCAAUCUUAAAUUUUUUUGCUCUAUUCGCCAUCAAAACAUAAUUUUUGCUCUAUUCACCAUCGAAACAUACUCGACGAAUUUGGAAGGAAAAUUUCAAAUUUUUUAUUUUUAAAGGGAAUCUAAGAUCCAUGAAGAAUGACUCAACGCGGAAUUGCUCUAGAAUGGUCCCCAUCAUAGAAGAGUGCACAUCAACCAAGUAAUCAAUUUCAUAUUUUUUAUUUUAUUUUACGGUUACUAUCAGUUUGGUUAUAAAUAGGGAAUCCCAAAAUCUUGUUAUUGUAUGACUAAGAGAAAAAUGGGUUCCAGGAAGUUGCUUGUUUUGGAGAUAUUUCUCUCGACUCUUAUACUUCUCUAUUCUUUUGAAGUGGCUGCAAGGGAACUUUCUUUUGGAGACGUCACACGUAAGUUUCAAUCUGGAUUCUUUCUUUUGGCAACUGCUUUGGGUCGGUUGGUCGGUCGUAUUAGAGUCUCUGGAAGUCAGUUAAGUAUAAAAAAAAAAAAAACUCAAAUUUGUUUUUAAUGGUUUAUAUUACAAACAUUGUGGCAAGAUAUUAUUCGCCUAACAUGCCAAGCAAGAAGCCCAUCAUAUCCAACAUGAUAUUAUACGAACUAGGCUUCUUUACGGAUCAUUUUUGGACUGUAAUUUAAGUAUUUUGAGUUAUUUCAAUGAUUCAAACCGUUUAUAUGUAAACCUCCUACAAAAUAUUAAUUCUGUAAAAAAUUAUUUUGAUUGGAUUCAAAUCAAUAGUUAUAUUUAUUUAAUCAAAAUAAGUGAACUCAAAAUUGAACCCCAAAUUUUUAACUGAACCUUUUAUCAUAUGACAAUUUGUAUCAAUUAAAAUGAACUCAAAAUAAAUCCGAAUGCUUGCGUUUGCUCCCGUCAAUCUUUAGAGGGAAGCAGAUCUAUAUUAUAUAUACGAACAUAGGAACUUGAUAUAGUACUUUUUGGAAAGAGUUUUGGUGGAGACAAUGUAUAAUGGAUGAAAAAUGCAAAUUCAUAUGUUGU